rnacentral:rRNA from 1 species
CCUACGGGAGGCAGCAGUGGGGAAUUUUGGACAAUGGGCGCAAGCCUGAUCCAGCAAUGCCGCGUGCAGGAUGAAGGCCUUCGGGUUGUAAACUGCUUUUGUACGGAACGAAACGGUGAGCUCUAAUAAAGUUUGCUAAUGACGGUACCGUAAGAAUAAGCACCGGCUAACUACGUGCCAGCAGCCGCGGUAAUACGUAGGGUGCGAGCGUUAAUCGGAAUUACUGGGCGUAAAGCGUGCGCAGGCGGUUAUAUAAGACAGAUGUGAAAAUCCCGCGGCACACGGACGUCGC